rnacentral:lncRNA from 1 species
UUUAAAUGUAUUUUUAUAAUUUUACUAUCUUUCGAAAAUAUACUUUUUAACCAAAUGCAACCAAAUACAAUUUUUGUAGGUUUUAAUUAAGCAAUAUAUUUCAAAUCUGAAGGAACUAUUGAAUAAUAAAUGAAUUACAAAAAUUAGAAAAGAUAGAAUCGUUGAUGUGAAGUACUCCUCUAGAUUGAACAGAUCAAUAUCUUCUCCUUUUUCUAUUUAUCUCUUCACUCUUGUGAUUGAUUCUUCUCUUCCCUUGUUUCUCUAGCUUGAUAUUGAUUUCACUUUGCAAUCCUCUUAUAAAGGCAUCCUCUUAUGUAAUUUUGGGAUUUAGUAGAUUCUGCAUGUGUCUAAGAGUAUCAAUAUCGGCCUUCUUCCCAUGAUCCUUCAAUCUGAAAAUUUUUAUUGUUCCUUGCUCAUCCCUGAAUACCAUUAGUCAAUAUAAUUGUAGAUGAACAACUUCGUUGUUAUUAGGAAAAGAAAGUCUCACUGGACCAGUAGGAUUAUUCCAAACCUUCUGAAUUUCUUUAAACUUGUUACAUAUCUCAGAUCUUACAGCACUAAAGAAUCUUCCUUUGUUUUCUAGCUUUGUGUAAACAGAUCUUAAGAUGUAAUAAUCCUGAUCAGAACUCUCUAAAGUGGCCAAGACAAUUUAUUUCCUCCUCUGUGGCUGAAUUACAUCCUUUUUGGCAUUAUGCCUUUGGUUGGCAAAGCUCCUACAUUCUUCAGUUCACUCAGAUAAAAUUCAAUAUGAGGUUGAUCACUAAGAUGAAUUGCAUAGCCAAAAUUUGACCAUGGCACUCUUGCGCUUUCAGCCACAACUGGAAUCUCAAUUUCUUUUGAAGGAAGCUUCACUUGCACAGGGCCAACCAUAUCAAAUUUCCUUGAAUUGCCCUAUCUCCUUCCAACCUGAACAAGUAUUUGAUCUCUUUAUCCUUGAAGAAGACCUCUUCUCAGACCCUAGAUCAGCAUUCUUUCUAAGAUUUAUUUUAAAAGAUCUUAGGAAAUUUUAAACUAGAUAGAUCAAGCUCUCCGGUUCCUCUUAAUUUGGGCAAAUAUCCCCUAAAGUGAUUUUUGGAAAAUUUGGAGGAGAUGAAGGAGAAAGAGGUUCUAUAUCACCAAUUUCUGGUCUAUGAGCAUUGAGCCUCAUCCUCUUUCUUUCUUUAGCUUAUUCUUUUUACUAGCCUUUAACUCGUGCGAAGCAUGGACGGUUAUAUAGUUCGUAAUUUAUUAUUUAUAAUUUAAAUUUUAACAUCAUUUUAUUAGUAUUUUAAUAUUAAUGAAUUGAAUUUUAAUUAAAUUAUAUUAACCAACUGAUUAUAUUUUCUCACAAAUAUUUAGCUUUUACAAUUUAUUAUUCAAUUAAUUUUCAAUCAUAUUUUUCAUAUUUUGUAUAUCCUCGUAUGUAUGAAAAAAGAUAUUUGUCGUGUAAUUUUCCAUAAUGAUUCGUGUUUGUAUUGAAAUAUAACAUGUU